UGGUAGUAGCAAAUAUUCAAAUG
rnacentral:snRNA from 1 species